AAUAGAUACCCGGGUAGUCCAUGCCGUAAACGUUGGGCGCUAGAUGUGGGGACCAUUCCACGGUUUCCGUGUCGCAGCUAACGCAUUAAGCGCCCCGCCUGGGGAGUACGGCCGCAAGGCUAAAACUCAAAGGAAUUGACGGGGGCCCGCACAAGCGGCGGAGCAUGCGGAUUAAUUCGAUGCAACGCGAAGAACCUUACCAAGGCUUGACAUAUACGAGAACGCUCUAGAAAUAGAGAACUCUUUGGACACUCGUAUACAGGUGGUGCAUGGUUGUCGUCAGCUCGUGUCGUGAGAUGUUGGGUUAAGUCCCGCAACGAGCGCAACCCUCGUUCUAUGUUGCCAGCGGUUCGGCCGGGAACUCAUAGGAGACUGCCGGGGUCAACUCGGAGGAAGGUGGGGAUGACGUCAAAUCAUCAUGCCCCUUAUGUCUUGGGCUUCACGCAUGCUACAAUGGCCGGUACAAAGGGCUGCAAUACCGUAAGGUGGAGCGAAUCCCAAAAAGCCGGUCUCAGUUCGGAUUGAGGUCUGCAACUCG
rnacentral:rRNA from 1 species